GAGCUGGCUGCCGUCUCCGUCUCUCAGCCGAGAGUCUGCGGCCGCUCGAACGAAAGCGAAAGUAAAAGCCCCUACGCGGCCAGGGGAGGAGUCGCCCGGGGCUGGAAACGGACCGGGCAGGCGGGGCUGCGGACACCGCCCCCGGCUCGGGACCCCGGGCUCCGUAAAGUUGGCCGCGCGCAGGACCACCAGGCCACCGCGCGCCCCUUCGGGAAAAGCGCGCCCAGCCCAGCCGGCCAACUGUCGCGCGCGCCAUCGCCGGAGGGCGCCCUCAGCAAAGCUGGCCGCGGGCACCAGAGACCGUGCUGGGCAAAGUUUGCAGAGGUCUAAGACCGCUCUCCGAGUGACCCGGAAAGCGCGCUCCGCGAACCCGCCGCACGCGGCCUCCCCAUCCAGGCGAACUGAAGAGCGCGCCCAGCCGGCUUCGCGGCUCUGGACGAUGGGGCGCUCGUCGGAGCCCCCAGCUCCUGCCCUCCCGCUGCUGCCCGCGUCUACACCUGGCCUUCGGCCUCCACACCAGCUCCAGGACCCAGUUCCCAAGGCUCGAAGGCGCCUCCCCCGCCAGACCCUGACCCCAGUUUGCGCGGGUUGCGCCCCUCGGGGGACUGGGCGCCCACAUCUGCAAGAGCUACCGUCGCCCAGGGGCCCGCGCUGGGAGCCGCCGUGGUCUCCCGCCUCGCAGAACUUGCUUCGAGUCCCUGGCGUGCCUUUCUCAGCCUUGGGCAGCAGGACGCUAACUCCGUUUUCUGCAGAGCGCGUCCCCAGUGCCUAACACGGCCUGCUGGCCUGGAUGUAGCGCCAGAAUCAUUCAUGGACUAUUUAUUGAGUGCCCCCAUGUGUCAGCCACUGGGUACGUGGCCGUGACUUGGUCUAAUGUGGGAGAGUCAGUGUAGUCCCCCCAGCACCACUUCACCCCGGCGUCUCCCACAUCCGCAACACCCACGCACCCUCCCACAUUUGUCCUUUUUCAACCUUUGGCCUCCAACUGAGGCCUCCAAGGCCUUGCUCUCCGAGACUCCUCAGGGGACCAGGUAAUGAACACAGUCGCACUGAGGUGUAAAUAGCUGAGGAGAA
rnacentral:lncRNA from 1 species